AUGACUGUUCUUCUAUUAAUUCGUGGCUUAGUUCUUGUUAGUUUUUUUCCUGGUUUCAUGGAAUUCUCUUCAUUUGCAUUUUGUUACAGAACAUCUGAUCUUUUAUCGGCGAAUAUUGCUUCAUAUUCUCAGUUUUUCUUUCUUUUGAGAAUCGGGAAGUUGAAGGUGUUGAAUUUGGUAUCUGUGGGAGUAGGGCGGUGGGGGUGGGGCAAGAGAAGUGUUGGGUGUUUCGAGGGGUCGGGCAGGCCGGCAUACGGGAGUAGGGCGGUGGGGGUGGGGCAAGAGAAGUGUUGGGUGUUUCGAGGGGUUGGGCAGGCCAGCAUAAGAGGGACGGGUGGUGGAGUGAAGAAGUUAAGAAGAAAGUGGAGAUUAAGAAAGGGGCGUAUGUUAAGUUGAUUGAGAGUAAAGAAGAAGUUGAGAAGCAGGUGAAUAGGGAGGUCUACAAAGUGGCAUGGAAGGAGGCUAAGUUAGCAGUUACGGCUGCCAAGACAGCAGCGUUUGAGAGUCUGUAUGCGGGGCUUGAGGAGAAAGGCGGGGAAAAAAGAUUGUAUAGGCUGGCUAAAGCUAGGGAGCGGAAGGGUCGUGACCUCGAUCAAGUGAAGUGCAUUAAGGGGGAGGAUGGUAGAGUUUUGGUGGAGGAUGUCCACAUUAAGAGAAGAUGACACGAGUAUUUUCGUGAACUGUUGAACGAGGAGGGGGACUGAAGCAUUGAGUUAGGGGAGCUAGAGCACUCGGAGGAAAAUCGGAAUCUCAGCUACUGCAGACGUUUUAGGGUUGAGAAGGUCAGAGAGGCUAUUCGUAGGAUGCGGAGGGGUAGGGCGACAGGGCCGGACGAAAUUCCGGUGGAUUUUUGGAAGUUUACUGAUGGAGCAGGUUUAAGGUGGUUGACUGAUUUGUUUAAUGGCAUUUUCAAGUCUGCGAAAAUGCCUGAGGCUUGGAGAUGGAGUACGAUGAUUCCAUUUUAUAAGAGCAAGGGUGAUAUUUAGAGUUGCAACAACUAUAGGGGUAUUAAGCUGUUGAGUCACACUAUGAAGAUUUGGGAGAGGGUGGUUGAGUGGAGAUUGAGGAGGGUCGUGUCCGUUUCUGAUAACCAGUUUGGAUUUAUGCCUGGUCGCUCGACGACAGAGCCAAACCACCCGGUGAGGAGAUUGGUGGAGCAGUAUAGGGAUAGGAAGAGGGAUUUACACAUGGUGUUCAUCGAGGUUUAAUUUUCAAGUCUGCGAAAAUGCCUGAGGCUUGAAGAUGGAGUACGAUGAUUCCGUUUUAUAAGAGCAAGGGUGAUAUUCAGAGUUGCAACAACUAUAGGGGUAUUAAGCUGUUGAGUCACACUAUGAAGAUUUGGGAGAGGGUGGUUGAGUGGAGAUUGAGGAGGGUCGUGUCCGUUUCUGAUAACCAGUUUGGAUUUAUGCCUGGUCGCUCGACGACAGAGCCAAACCACCCGGUGAGGAGAUUGGUGGAGCAGUAUAGGGAUAGGAAGAGGGAUUUACACAUGGUGUUCAUCGACUUGGAGAAUGCAUAUGACAAAGUCCCUUGGGAGGUGCUUUGGAGAUGCUUGGAGGUGAGAGGAAUCCCGGAGGUGUACAUCAGAGCUAUUAAGGACAUGUACGAGGGAGGGAAGACUCGGGUGAGGACGGCGGGAGGAGACUCAGAACAUUUUUCGGUCAAGAUAGGGUUGCAUCAGGGAUCGACUCUUAGUCCGUUUCUAUUUGCGCUGGUGAUGGACGUGUUGACGCAGAGUAUAGAGGCAAACCACCCGGUGAGGAGAUUGGUGGAGCAGUAUAGGGAUAGGAAGAGGGAUUUACACAUGGUGUUCAUUGACUUGGAGAAUGCGUAUGACAAAGUCCCUUGGGAGGUGCUUUGGAGAUGCUUGGAGGUGAGAGGAAUCCCGGAGGCGUACAUCAGAGCUAUUAAGGACAUGUACGAGGGAGGGAAGACUCGGGUGAGGACGGCGGGAGGAGACUCAGAACAUUUUCCGGUCAAGAUAGGGUUGCAUCAGGGAUCGACUCUUAGUCCGUUUCUGUUUGCGCUGGUGAUGGACGUGUUGACGCAGAGUAUUCAAGAUGAGGUGCCUUGGUGUAUGUUAUUUGCAGAUGAUGUAGUGCUGAUUGAUGAGACGCGGGGGUGUGUGAAGAUAAAUUGGAGGUUUGGAGGCAAACUCGUGAAGCUAAGGGUUCAGGUUGAGUAGGUCCAGGAUGGAGUAUAUGGAAUGCAAGUUUAGUGACUCAAAGCAGGAGGACGGAGUGGUGGUGAGGUUGGAUUCCCAGGAUGUUUGUAAGAGGGAUAAUUUUAAGUAUCUCUGGUCUAUGAUUCAGGGGAAUGGCGAGAUUGAUGAGGUCUAAACGUAUUGGAGCAGGUUGGAUGAAGUGGAGGCUUGCCUCGGGAGUGUUGUGUGAUAAGAAGGUGCCCUUAAAGCUUAAAGGUAAGUUCUACAGAGUGGCAGUCCGUCCGGCCAUGCUGUAUGGUGCUGAGUGUUGGCCAGUCAAGAACUUCCAUAUUCAAAAAUUGAAGGUAGCGGAAAUGAGAAUGUUGCGUUGGAUGUGUGGACUUACUAGAGGGGAUAGAGUUAGGAAUGAGAUUAUUCGAGAGAAGGUGGGAGUGGCGUCGGUGGAAGACGAGAUGCGGGAGGAAAGGCUGAGAUAGUUUGGGCAUGUGAUGAGGAGGGGCACGGAUGUCCCAGUUCGUAGGUGUGAGAGGCAACUUUGGAUGGUUUCAGGAGGAGUAGAGAUAGGCCGAAGAAAUACUGGAGAGAGGUGAUUAGACAUGACAUGGAGCUAUUACAGCUUACUGAGGACAUGACCCUAGAUAGGAAGGUGUGGAGGGUGCGGAUAAGGGUAGAAGGUUAAUGCGAGGGUGGGUUGUAUCUUGUAGUUAGGGAGCUCUUGCGUAGCCGGGUUAGUAACCCUAGGACUGUGUCCAUUGGUAGGAGCUGCUAGUAUAUACUAUUACUAGGUGGGUGUCCUUUUCUUAUUUCUUAUUUUCAUAUUACUCUUAUUUUUGUGUCUCUCGUAUUUCUAUUUUCAUUAGUCCUUAUUUCUUAUUUCGGUUAUGCCACCAAUCCUGUUUUUGUGUAUUACUUUGAUCUUGCUAACUAUUCUUUAUCUUGAGUUGGGGGUCUAUCGGAAACAACCUCUCUACUUCUUCGGAGGUAGCGGUAUGGACUGCGUACAUUUUACCCUCCCCAGACCCCACUUGGUGGGAAUUCACUGGGUUUGUUGUUGUUGUUGCUCUAUGUAUGUCUCUUGCAUGUCAG
rnacentral:lncRNA from 1 species